GAUGAAGAACGCAGCGAAAUGCGAUAAGUAAUGUGAAUUGCAGAAUUCAGUGAAUCAUCGAAUCUUUGAACGCACAUUGCGCCCUUUGGUAUUCCGAAGGGCAUGCCUGUUCGAGCGUCAUUAUCACCCCUCAAGCCCUCGGCUUGGUGUUGGAAGGUUUGGUGGAGGCCCCCUCGGGGGCUCCUGCCCCUCCCAAAGACAAUGACGGCGGCCUCGUUGGACCCCCGGUACACUGAGUUCUUCACGGGACACGUAUCGGACACAUGGGUUUACGGGACACGGUCUGCCUCCCCUCAGGGAGAAUCUUUCUAAGGUUGACCUCGGAUCAGGUAGGGAUACCCGCUGAACUUAAGCAUAUCAAUAAGCGGAGGA
rnacentral:misc_RNA from 1 species